GUGCCUGGUUGUUUCUAUUGAAAUGUGGGUUAGAAUUAGGAUUUCUUGGAUACUGAGGAGAAGGAUUCUGUUUGCCAUGCUCAUUUUGAGUACUUUGGGGGUAUCCGUGCAACUUAUAACAAUUCUGCAUUGUGUGUCUUGUUCUUUUGCAGAAAUCGCAAAACAGCUUAGAUUUGUCCACAUAGUUCCCUGCAGACGAG
rnacentral:lncRNA from 1 species